UAUGCCUGUGUGUGUGCAUGUGUUUGUAUGUAUGUGCUUAUGUAUGUGUAUAUGUGUACUAUAUAUUUUUAAUCCUGAAAUCUUCAAUUUGUGAAGCAUUCCUUCUUAACAUGAAACUGAUUUGGUGGUAUUUGCCAGCAGGACAAUAAAUGACAGGAAAUAAUUUUUUAGGUGUAUAAUCUUUAAAAUCAAUUAAAUGUCUGAACCAGUGCCAGAUAAGUCUGAAUAAGUGAUAAUAAUUACUUUUCAUUGGUGUCUAGUGACGACUGUCUCAUUCAAUGACUUUCCCCACACAAGUAGUUGGUGGGACAAGAUGUUGUGUCUCAAUCUAAAGCUAAGGAUUUUUGUGUUAAUUUUCCUCAAAAUACUAUUAUUUUAAAUAUUUUAAUUUUUUAAUUUGUUUAAUUAAAAGUUAAUUUAAUUUGCUGUAAAUUAAAAGUAAUUUUGGAGUAUAAAAUGAUACAGCCACUGUGGAAAACGGAAGUUUCCUCAGAAAGUUAAAAUAGAAUUACCAUAUGAUCCACCAAUUCUGUUUCUCAAGAAGCAGAAACAAGAAAGCAGAAUCUCAAAGACAUAUUUGCACACCCAUGUUCAUAGCAGCAUUCUAUACAGUAGCCAAUAGGUGGAAGCAUCUGUUGACAGAUGGAUGGAUAAACAAAAUGUGGUAUAUACAAUGGAAUAUUAUUCAGCCUUAAAAAGGAAGGAAAUUUUGACAGCUGUUGCAACAUGUAUGAACCUUGAGGAUAUUACGCUAAGUGAAAUAAGCCAGUCACAAGAACACAAACACUUUGCGAUUAUACUUACAUAAGGUAUUUAGAGUAGUCAAACUCACAGAAACAGAAAGGAUUCAAAAAUCAGAGAGACAGUAAAAUGGUGGUUGCCAGGAGCUGGGGGUAGGGGAAAUGGGAAGUUGUUUAAUGGGGACAGAGUUUCAGUUUUACAAGAUGAAAAAGUUACGGGGAUUGCACAACAGUGUGAAUAUACUUAACACUACUGAACUGUAUACUUAGAAAUACUUUUAGCUUUUAGUUUUUGAUAGUGAAGAUCAUAUUUUACCCAUCUUUGCAUUCUCACUAUCUGAGGAAGGCCCCCAAACUUAGUAGAUCUUCAGUGAAAGUACUCAGAACUUGGGAGGUAGCCACAGCUGCUUCCCUUGAAGAGCUGAUAGUUUAGUGACUAUUGCUUAUGUAGAGUUAGCCUAAGAGCCCUAUUGUAAGACAGAGAGCUGCUGGUUUGGUUCUUCUGUGAUAUGCCUAUCCUAACCUCUUUCUCUUAAGCAAUAAAAAAUGUAUAGGCUAUUUUUCUUUCCUAGUUAGAUAAAUAAAUUGAGAUAGUUUCUUGACUUUCCUUUUAAAAAAAUUACUAAGCUUAAGUUUCUAACAAUAUCAGUCACUUAUCUGUAAAUCAUAAUGAUCUUUAUUUUGUAUGCCAUUUUCCUUAAGGGCUCCCAUACUCUAGUAUUUUUCAAAAUGAUGUACUGAAUACAUUUUCUUUUCAAAUGUCUGAUGACGUGACUGAUCACAGCAGCCCUACAGAACACGAAGCAAAUCAAAUGUACUCCAGUUGUAGUGAGAGUAGAAAUCCUGAGAUAGAGUUAAACUGUAUUGAAAGGGUUAAUCUUCCUUCCUUUAUCCCCCACCCAAUUGCUAGUGAAGUGAUUCUUAGAUUUAAAUCAGUAUUUAGAAUUUUGACAGUGAUAAACAAUGACAAAGAAUAAUACAGUUUAUUUUUGUAGAGAUUUAAAUUCAAUUCAACACACAUUUAUUAUGAACCUAUAAUGACAGAAAACAUUGGAAUAUUUGUGCUUCUCAACUUCUUCACUUUUGAAUAAUAUGUUCUUACUACUUUUGGCAUUUUCAUGAAAGUAUGUUUAAUAAAUAUUAAUUGAAUGAAAUAUGAACCUUUGUGGGCAAAAUUGGUUAGACUUGGCCUUUUUUUCAUGAAGUCUUCAUUAAGUAUUAGUCUUAUGAUAUCAUCUAAAUCUUCAUAUUCUGAACAUAUUGUUAAGAAAGAGUAAGAAACAUGAAUGUGAGCAAGCCAUUGAAAGCUGUUUAACUAUUACAAACACAGUAAUUUUGUUACUACUACAGCAGAUCAGAAAUUACAGCAACUAAUCAUACUCUUGUAUUGGGAGAGUUCUUUUUAUAGUGUAGAAUUCCAUUAUAACAAAUUAGGCCAUAAUGAAAAUUCGUUGUUUUUUGGUUUUUGGUUUUUUUUUUUUUUUUGAGACAGAGUCUUGCUCUGUCACCAAGCUGGAGUGCAGUGGUAUGAUCUCAGCUCACUGCAACAUCUGCCUCCUGGAUUCAAGCGAUUCCCCUGCCUCAGCCUCCUGAGUAGCUGGAACUACAGGCGCACCACCAUGCCCAACUAAUUUUUGUAUUUUUAGUGGAGACAGGGUUUCACCAUAUUAGCCAGGAUGGUCUCGAUCUCUUGACCUCGUGAUCCACCUGCCUUGGCCUCCCCAAAGUGCUGGGAUUACAGGCGUGAGCCGCUGUGCCUGGCAUGAAAAUUCUUAUGUACUGAAAUGUUGGAUUAUUCCAGUGAAGAGCCAGAUGUAGUCCGUAUGGUUUCUUACGUAUCAGAAUGCAAUUGCAACAAUGAAAAUGGGUUAUUUCUUGAAGUUAUGUAAUCAAAUUAUGCUUGUAUUUUGGUGAAAUAUAUCUGGUGUUUUAUUUUUCUAAGAGAAAGUUGUGCUUUAAUUGAUAUUAAUUGCAAUUUCUUGGCAGAAUUAUAUUUAACUGAGGCGAAAGUGACAGUAGGUUUUAGAGUUUUAGAAGCAUCAAAUGGUAGACUUGGAUGAAAGCAAAAAUUCUUUUCUAUGGAACUGUUAUUUUUAAAAAAGGACAUAAAAUAAUGUAUUUUGAAGGUUUGUUUUGAUACUUUAUAACUCCAGAUUUUUUUUACAUUUGUAAAGAUCAGGCAAAUCACUAUCUAAUAAAUCCAUUUGGUUAAGUUUGGGUUCCAUUGUUGUGGCAGCUUUUCUGACGAAUGUGUAUUGUAUAAUAGAUGAUGAGUUAUGAGUUUGAGCCAAGGGCCAGUGGGGCCAAUUCUGAGCUUGCUUCCUGCUUUCUACUCUGUCAUAGAAAGUAUCAAUAUAAUGUCAGAGGUUCAGAUCUCUGUGUUAAUAUUGCAGAGCUCUGACAUCAAUUUCUCAUUCUGAAGCAAGUUAAUUGUUCUGUAAUAUAAUUGAGGGGGUGUAGGGGGAUUCUAAUUAAGUACAAAAAAUUAUGGAGCCAAACCGCUGGCAUUCAAAUGCUAGUUCCACCACUUACUAGCUGUGUGAUCUUGGGCAAGUUACUUACCUGUAAAAUGGGGAUAAUUAUAGUACUUAUCUCACUUGAUACUUAGCAGAUUAUGUGAAUACAUAGACAUCCUCGAACAGUACCUGGUGCAAAAUAAGUUACUGUGUAACUGUUAGCUUUUAUAAAUAGUAUUGUUAUUCGGCAGAGGGAGUCCCUACAGAGGAGCCAGGAGCUGAUGUUAGGAGCUACAAUAACAUGGCAUUCUGGUUAUAUAAUUAAAUGCAAGUUGUUUGCUUUUGCAAAAGAAAAUGGAAAACAAGGAAGGGAGAGCCAAUAUUUUUAGAACUAUAGAAACGAGAGUAACAAAUCUUAUAACAGGGAGUAACCUCUGGUUUUGCGAUCAGCUGUUUUUCAUUUAUACCGCAGAUGGGCAGAAAAAGUACUGGUCAAUAAGCAUAGGGGUUUGUAGAGUAAGAUGAUUCUGCACUACAUAUACAAGAAAUUGCUUCUGGUUACUUGCAUGCUUCAAAGGUUUGAUCUAGAAGUUUGCACAUAAAUUGAGAAAUUAGGGUAAGAAUUAAAAAUGUAGUAAAUGAAGAUUGAACAGUACCCACACCACCCUGCAAUAAGAUUUGAUCCUCCCUGUUAUAUUUUGUAGUUUGAUGUCAUGUAAUCUAUUAGAAUUUUAUUAAUUCUGCUUACACAGACAGCCAUCUGGACCUUCUCUAAGCAAGACCAGUCCUAGUAUACAACUGAAAUGAUUGAUGGGCUCUGGAAUUGAUUAGUUGUUCUGUGAGACAAAUGAAGUGUUUUGGCAGAAAAUACAAGAGGUUGCUGCUUGUGGUCAGACACAAAAGCCUGUAGAAUUUCAAAGAGAUGCUUUAAUCAUUGACUUAUAAAGUUUCCAUUUUUAAACAAUAAUGGAUUUUGAAAAUAUUUCCCAAAUAUCUUUUCAUUGGCUGCUGUCUAGUCCUGAUUAUAAAUGGAAGAAUAUAAGUAUAAAAAAUUAGAAUGAAAGUGAUUGUUUUAUGCUUUAAUUUUGUAUUCUUGGUGAAAUAUGAACUAACUUGGAAGUAGCAUAAAAGCCUGUCAUGCAUAAAUUAUACUCUAAAAUUUUCCUGAAAGAGAUAUGAUUGGAGAAAAAGCUGUAACGUGUAUAGUUUUAUUGUAAAUUACUUCUAAAAUCAGAUGUUAUAAAAUUCUAUUUAUUCAUUCAAAGCUUCACAUUGUUACAUUGCAGCCUGUUUUUAACAAAUCUACUUAAAGAUUCUUAAGCUUCAAGAGUAUGUGUUCUACAUAUUUGUGUUUUAAAAAAUGAAUAUUUGGAUUUUUAUGCAUUUAACAGGCCGUCAUUCUGGAACACCACUAUCCUAAUGAUACCACUGCCUUUAGCACCAAAAAGCUUCCCUCCAUCUGUUUGGCUGGUGGUAGUGUAAUACUUCUCUAUUUCACCAUGUUGCCUAUGAUCAACAUUGUGUUAACACCUUGGUGAUAGGUGAUAAAUUGGAUGACAUAUGUCUUGUUAAAUUCUGGUUAUUCUUUGAGGACUACACAAGUGGGUAUAGGCAAGUGGGCAACUCCCCCUGGAGAAUCUGACUGCUCAGAAUGAACUUGAGUUAUGGAUUUAUUCAGCCUGUAAAACCUCAGCUGGCAUAAAUAAUUGAGAAAGCAAAGGUUUGUCUUUGGUGCAUACCUCAGGGACUCAUGGCUCCCUUCCUCCUCUCUACCUCCCUUUCUUAUGAAAAUGAUUCCAGUUGCACUCCUAGAUAAUAACACACCAAGCAAUUAAAAGCCAUGGGUGGCUGGAGAGAGGAGAAAAGGUUUAGUUAAUGAGCUUUUCCUCUUCCAGUGCCCAUGAGAACCUCAGGAAUGACAAGGCGAUUAAAGCGAAGAGAUAAUUAUAGAUUAUGUGAAAAUGGGUCCCCUGGGACAUGUGGGUCUUGACAUAAACAGUAACUGUUGUAAGAGUCUCCUGGCUCUCAUAUUCACCCUUUUCUAGCGUGCUUCAUUUACCUCCUGUGUGCUCAGUGUCAUGAUGCCAACCAAGCAUGUACACAAAUCUAGCCCUUUCUGAACCAAGGGUCAUUCAUCAACUGAAACCAUCACCUUUUCUUCCUCUCUGUUUUCUUCUUUUUUCUUCUCCUCUUCCUUUUUCCAGUUUUGUUCUCUCUUUCCUGUCUACCCCAUCUAAUUUUUCUUUCUCUUCUUCCCAUAUCCUUAUCUGUAUGUGGUACCUAUGAAAUGCUUGUUUACAAAAUUUGGUGUGUGUAUGUAUGUGUGCAUAUAUAAAGAUAUAUAGAGGUUGUGGGUAUACUGUAUCCAUUACAGUAAUGAGAAGCAGAAUAUGCAUUACAAAUAAUAUGAACAGGACCCCUUACCAUCUCAUCUAAUGCCAGUUUUCCGCUCACCCCCUUUUUCACUCUGUUCCAACCACAUUGGCUUAUUUUUUUCCUUGAAGUUCUAAUUAAUAUUUAUUAGAUUAAUUGACACGUAGGGUAUGAGGAAUGACCUCCAGCUUACAAUAUAUGCUGAAUUCUUAAGAUAAGAAUAAUGACAGUUAACAUUUAUUGACCAUUUAUUAUAUGCUAGUAUAGUAACCAUACUAUAUGUAUUACUUCUCUUAAUCUUUAGGAUGACCCUAUUAAAUAUAGAUGCUAUUAAUAUUCUUUUUUUUACAGAUAAGGAAACUGAAAUUCAGAGAAGUUAACUUACUUGCCCAGGGUCACAUAGUUAGUAACGCUGCUGUUAAUUACUGUGCUAUGCUGGCUCUGGAAAUGUUUGAGGAAUCAUAAUCUCUAGUUAAUGAAAUUGAGUCUGAUAGUUGUUACUAUUUAAUAUGAUCAACAACUUCUGGCCAUACAUCCAACAAGUAAAUCAGGAACUUAAAUUCCUACAAAGAAGUAAUAUUCACUAGCAGUAUGACUGAAUUUUGGAAGAUAGUGUGCAGUGCCAGCUUUUAUCCUAGAAAGACUACCUCCAAAGGAACUUCACAGAGUGGCAUUUUUGGUGAAUUACCAUUGAUCAGAGUCCAUUUUUCAACCUCAAAGAUGUAGAAAAAAGAUCCGUAGAUCAAGCAGACCCUUAGAAACAGAGUAGGAAUAAUAAAAUUGGCCCAAAACUGAGGUGUAAACUAAAAUGCUUGUUUGCUUACCAAAGGGACUAUGUCUUUGUAGUGAUUGAAGUGCUGGGUCCCUCCUUUCUGAGAAUUGAGGAGUCCAGAAAAACAGAUUAAUAGUUAAAUGAUUAUUUGUGAACAUAAAAAUAGAGCCAGGGAAAGUGUAUCAUUUUGAGGAUUGCCUUAGCCAUGGUCCUAAUGAGACCUCAUGAAUGAACUGUCUUUCUCCAGAGAAAUCACUCAGAAUGCUUUUUUGCCUCCGUCUUUUGGUUAUACUUCCUGAAGUAUACUAACUAUAGUAAGGAGAGAGGUGUAAUGCCUCUCCUUUACAAACGAGGAGAAGAGUGUUUGAGCAGAGGGAAUGUGGAAAAGGAGAAUGGUAAUGAAAUAUUUGCCACAGGAACCCUUUCAGGUAGAUCAGUUUAGUAAAGAAUACAUUUAUCUAGAAGAUGAAGAGCUGGAAAUUGAGUCACUUAAAAUGAUCUAUACCUGCAUAUCUCUUUAAAGGAGUUUAUGUACCCUAGAGCCCACAAAUUCCUUAGUUUGAGGAAUUAUGGCAUUUGUUUUUAUCUUUGUAGAUAUUGGCUUACUUUCUUUGGAUUUUCAUUCAUGCAAUAAAUACUUAUUCAUUGUCUAUUUACUAGAA